GGAAAGCUGUAGCUCAGUGCUAGGACACAUGCUUUGCAUGCAAAAUGUCCUAGGUUCAAUCCCUAGCAUCUCCA